rfam:Ornithorhynchus anatinus chromosome X5, whole genome shotgun sequence.
AGCAGCGUGGCCUAGCGGAAAGACCGUGGGCCUAGGAGCCAGAGGACCUGGGUUCUAAUCCCAGCUCUGCCA